rnacentral:rRNA from 1 species
CUCAGUUCGGAUUGGAGUCUGCAACCCGACUCCAUGAAGCUGGAUUCGCUAGUAAUCGCGCAUCAGCCACGGCGCGGUGAAUACGUUCCCGGGCCUUGUACACACCGCCCGUCAAGCCAUGGAAGCCGGGAGUGCCUGAAGUGCGUGAGCGCAAGCAGCGCCCUAAGGUAAAACCGGUGACUGGGGCUAAGUCGUAACAAGGUAGC